UACGGAGGGGGCUAGCGUUGUUCGGAAUUACUGGGCGUAAAGCGCACGUAGGCGGCUUUGUAAGUUAGAGGUGAAAGCCCGGGGCUCAACUCCGGAAUUGCCUUUAAGACUGCAUCGCUAGAAUUGUGGAGAGGUAAGUGGAAUUCCGAGUGUAGAGGUGAAAUUCGUAGAUAUUCGGAAGAACACCAGUGGCGAAGGCGACUUACUGGACACAUAUUCGACGCUGAGGUGCGAAAACGUGGGAGCAAACAGG
rnacentral:rRNA from 1 species